rnacentral:rRNA from 1 species
CCUACGGGCGGCAGCAGUGGGGCAUAUUGCACAAUGGGGGGAACCCUGAUGCAGCGACGCUGCGUGAGUGAAGAAGUAAUUCGGUAUGUAAAGCUCUAUCAGCAGGGAAGAAAAUGACGGUACCUGAGUAAGAAGCCCCGGCUAACUACGUGCCAGCAGCCGCGGUAAUACGUAGGGGGCAAGCGUUAUCCGGAUUUACUGGGUGUAAAGGGAGCGUAGACGGCAGGGCAAGUCUGGAGUGAAAGGCGGGGGCUCAACCCCCGGACUGCUCUGGAAACUGUACGGCUGGAGUGCAGGAGAGGUAAGCGGAAUUCCUAGUGUAGCGGUGAAAUGCGUAGAUAUUAGGAGGAACACCAGUGGCGAAGGCGGCUUACUGGACUGUAACUGACGUUGAGGCUCGAAAGCGUGGGGAGCAAACAGGAUUAGAUACCCUGGUAGUC